rnacentral:rRNA from 1 species
GACGAACGCUGGCGGCGUGCUUAACACAUGCAAGUCGAACGGAAAGGCCCUGCUUUUGUGGGGUGCUCGAGUGGCGAACGGGUGAGUAACACGUGAGUAACCUGCCCUUGACUUUGGGAUAACUUCAGGAAACUGGGGCUAAUACCGGAUAGGAGCUCCUGCUGCAUGGUGGGGGUUGGAAAGUUUCGGCGGUUGGGGAUGGACUCGCGGCUUAUCAGCUUGUUGGUGGGGUAGUGGCUUACCAAGGCUUUGACGGGUAGCCGGCCUGAGAGGGUGACCGGCCACAUUGGGACUGAGAUACGGCCCAGACUCCUACGGGAGGCAGCAGUGGGGAAUAUUGCACAAUGGGCGGAAGCCUGAUGCAGCAACGCCGCGUGCGGGAUGACGGCCUUCGGGUUGUAAACCGCUUUCGCCUGUGACGAAGCGUGAGUGACGGUAAUGGGUAAAGAAGCACCGGCUAACUACGUGCCAGCAGCCGCGGUGAUACGUAGGGUGCGAGCGUUGUCCGGAUUUAUUGGGCGUAAAGGGCUCGUAGGUGGUUGAUCGCGUCGGAAGUGUAAUCUUGGGGCUUAACCCUGAGCGUGCUUUCGAUACGGGUUGACUUGAGGAAGGUAGGGGAGAAUGGAAUCCCUGGUGGAGCGGUGGAAUGCGCAGAUAUCAGGAGGAACACCAGUGGCGAAGGCGGUUCUCUGGGCCUUUCCUGACGCUGAGGAGCGAAAGCGUGGGGAGCGAACAGGCUUAGAUACCCUGGUAGUCCACGCUGUAAACGGUGGGUACUAGGUGUGGGGUCCAUUCCACGGGUUCCGUGCCGUAGCUAACGCUUUAAGUACCCCGCCUGGGGAGUACGGCCGCAAGGCUAAAACUCAAAGGAAUUGACGGGGCCCCGCACAAGCGGCGGAGCAUGCGGAUUAAUUCGAUGCAACGCGUAGAACCUUACCUGGGUUUGACAUGGAUCGGGAGUGCUCAGAGAUGGGUGUGCCUCUUUUGGGGUCGGUUCACAGGUGGUGCAUGGCUGUCGUCAGCUCGUGUCGUGAGAUGUUGGGUUAAGUCCCGCAACGAGCGCAACCCUUGUUCACUGUUGCCAGCACGUUAUGGUGGGGACUCAGUGGAGACCGCCGGGGUCAACUCGGAGGAAGGUGGGGAUGACGUCAAGUCAUCAUGCCCCUUAUGUCCAGGGCUUCACGCAUGCUACAAUGGCUGGUACAGAGAGUGGCGAGCCUGUGAGGGUGAGCGAAUCUCGGAAAGCCGGUCUCAGUUCGGAUUGGGGUCUGCAACUCGACCUCAUGAAGUCGGAGUCGCUAGUAAUCGCAGAUCAGCAACGCUGCGGUGAAUACGUUCCCGGGGCU